UGGGGAAUAUUGGACAAUGGGGGCAACCCUGAUCCAGCCAUGCCGCGUGAGUGAUGAAGGCCCUAGGGUUGUAAAGCUCUUUCAGCGAGGAGGAUAAUGACGUUACUCGCAGAAGAAGCCCCGGCUAACUUCGUGCCAGCAGCCGCGGUAAUACGAAGGGGGCUAGCGUUGUUCGGAAUCACUGGGCGUAAAGCGCACGUAGGCGGACUGAUCAGUCAGGGGUGAAAUCCCGGGGCUCAACCCCGGAACUGCCUUUGAUACUGUCAGUCUUGAGUCCGAGAGAGGUGAGUGGAACUCCGAGUGUAGAGGUGAAAUUCGUAGAUAUUCGGAAGAACACCAGUGGCGAAGGCGGCUCACUGGCUCGGUACUGACGCUGAGGUGCGAAAGCGUGGGGAGCAAACAGGAUUAGAUACCCCCGUAGUCC
rnacentral:rRNA from 1 species